GGGCGCGUAGCUCAGUGGGAGAGCGCCGUGUUCACACCGCGGAGGUCGCAAGUUCAAUCCUUGCCGCGCCCACCA
rnacentral:tRNA from 1 species